GACGAACGCUGGCGGCGUGCUUAACACAUGCCAGUCGAACGAAGAGCGAUGGAAGCUUGCUUCUAUCAAUCUUAGUGGCGAACGGGUGAGUAACGCGUAAUCAACCUGCCCUUCAGAGGGGGACAACAGUUGGAAACGACUGCUAAUACCGCAUACGAUCCAAUCUCGGCAUCGGGACUGGCUGAAAGGUGGCCUCUAUUUAUAAGCUAUCACUGAAGGUGGGGAUUGCGUCGGGUUAGCUAGGUGGGGGGGUACCGGCCCACCAAGGCGAUGAUCAGUAGCCGGUCGGAGAGGAUGAACGGCCGCAUUGGGACUGGGACACGGCCCAGACGCCUACGGGAGGCAGCAGUGGGGAAUCUUCCGCAAUGGACGAAAGUCUGACGGAGCAACGCCGCGGGGGUGAUGACGGCCUUCGGGUUGUAAAGCUCUGUUAAUCGGGACGAAUGGUUCUUGUGCGAAUAGUGCGAGGAUUUGACGGUACCGGAAGAGAAAGCCACGGCUAACUACGUG
rnacentral:rRNA from 1 species